UAAACAGAUGGGAUUAUGGGAAAUAUCUUAAAGAGCGAUAACUUUAUCUUGCAAAAUGGCAGCCUCCAGCAGAUGAUGUGUAGCUAUAUUUAAUAGCCGAUUUCUACACAACAGAUUACAAUCAAAUGGAAAUAACCAGCAAGAAGAAAUGACAGAGAUCGUCUGAAACCAGCUAUUACAGUACAAUCAAGAGAUUCAUCAAUAUCUACAUAUGUAGUCAGUAUGAAGUAUAUACACACUGCACUGGAAGAAAAGUUAUACUGGGUGGAUGUUUGUGAAAGGUCAUAUUGAUGGAAUUUAACAUCUGCGGAAUGCCUGAUCUUAUCACUGUUCUUUAACAUUUUCGAAACACACUUAAGUAAGUGUCAUUGGGAGGCGUAGGUGAAAACGAGGAGAUAACAAACAUAAUACAAAAUGAAAAGUAGGACAAACACGGACUCAUCACAUCUGAAGACUCCAGAGGUGGGAACAGGUGCCUAGGAGGAGCAAGCAUCAUUGUUGACCAGUUACAACUAAACAAUAACGGCCUAACAUGGUAACAUGGUUUCAUGGUAUGAAGCACAUCAGACAACAUUCGACAUAUCGACAGGUUCUAUUUCUAAAAAGUCUUCAUUAUAACGAUCAUGAAAUUUGCAAAAGGCUGACUUCAAAGGAGACUGUUGAAACCCCUGUAACAUCAACUUAUUUGUCAGUAGCUUACUUUGAUUUAAAAACUUGACCGGACGCAGAACAUGCUCUCGGGCAUCUAAGCAGUUGCGGAACAUAAACAACACACGCAGGUGACAAUGGAAUAUUCAGGACCUGCAUACAUAUAGGAAGUUAACGAUGGAAAAGCUGAAGUCAUCCUGUUUUUUAAUAAGUUGAGUUGUUGGUUUGUUGUCAAUAUCUAUGUUCAAUAAAAUGUGUCAAAUUAA